rnacentral:lncRNA from 1 species
CGUGCAGAUGUCGUGUGCCCAGCAGUCGGGCCGAUGAAGAGCAACAAAUGAAGCGCCAGAUGUCUACAACUAUGGGAACUCUUAUACGUCACACAAAUGGGUAACCCUUCACACUUAUCGUUAACACAAAAUGCUAACCAUUCAGCACAGCUGGAAAAGGUAAAUCUGAAGCCUAAUGCCAAAGGGUAUCCCUUAAUCCUAAAGCCUGUCCCCAAAUGGGAAACCCUUAACUCGUAAUUCUAAUCCAAAAGGGCAACCAUGAAACCAAACCGAGAAGGGUACCCCGUAACUCUUAUCCCUUAAUCCAGCAUGGAGCCCUUUACCCUUCCGUAAUGGCAUAACCCUUAACCCAAAGUGCUGACACUGAAGCGUAACCCUCGUGAGAAGCUGUUAACACAAACCCCAAGCCGGUAGCCUGAAUGCUUCCC